GUUAUUAGCAUUAUAGAGGGUAAAAAUCAUGACUGGUAUCCUAUUAUUAAUUCUGUUUUUAUCUGAGGGCCUCAGUAUAAGACAAUCCCCGGAUCUUUCUGAUUAUGAGGGUCAGAAAGUGACUCUUCAGUGUACUCAGGUCGACACCUCCUAUAACGCCAUGUACUGGUUCAGACAAAGACCCUUUGAAUCCUUGGAGCUUAUUGUACACAACUAUGUUACUAUUGACACAAUAGAAGACAAAUUUAAAGAGAAAUUUAUUGCUGUAAAAAAUGGCCACUCUCUGGAUUUGACUGUAAAGGAUUUGCAGAGCACAGACAGUGGUGUCUACUUCUGCGCAAAACAGGAUGCACAGCAUGACAACCUAAUCUUUAACCUGAACAAGAACUGCACCACCCCAUAA